rfam:Helianthus annuus linkage group 8, whole genome shotgun sequence.
AAGCACGUUUGCUAUACAUAGCGAACUAUUCUUUCGCCUUUUACUAAAGAAUACCUUAUGCUUGCUUUUUCAAGUGGGGUACGCAUAUUUUUUGAAGAACCUCUUCUAUUAUAUU